rnacentral:rRNA from 1 species
UACAGAGGUCCCAAGCGUUGUUCGGAUUCACUGGGCGUAAAGGGUGCGUAGGUGGCCGGGUAAGUCUGACGUGAAAUCUCCAAGCUCAACUUGGAAACUGCGUCGGAUACUAUCCGGCUAGAGGAUCGGAGGGGAGACUGGAAUACUUGGUGUAGCAGUGAAAUGCGUAGAUAUCAAGUGGAACACCAGUGGCGAAGGCGGGUAGCUGGGCCGACACUGACGCUGAGGCGCGAAAGCCAGGGGAGCGAACGGG